GGAAACAGCUUCAGCAAUCUUAUUCCGUUUUCAAAGUAUCCAUACGGAGAUUCUGAAUAUGGGAAUGAAGACGUGGCUGAGUCUGUGAAAGAGGAGAAAAAACGGAAACAGAUGGAAGCUAUUGCAGAUGACUUGUUUAACACUGAGAAGGGAAGAUAGCGUGCUGCAACUGGUCCUCUUCGUGGGCUUUUUACUCGUGCUUAGUUGAGAGGUAUGCAGUGUGUAUACUUGUUAGUAGUAAAU